rnacentral:rRNA from 1 species
ACGGAAGGCAGCAGUGGGGGAUAUUGCACAAUGGGGGAAACCCUGAUGCAGCGACGCCGCGUGAGCGAAGAAGUAUUUCGGUAUGUAAAGCUCUAUCAGCAGGGAAGAAAAUGACGGUACCUGACUAAGAAGCUCCGGCUAAAUACGUGCCAGCAGCCGCGGUAAUACGUAUGGAGCAAGCGUUAUCCGGAUUUACUGGGUGUAAAGGGAGCGUAGACGGUUUGCCAAGUCUGAUGUGAAAGGUGGGGGCUCGACCCCCAAACUGCAUUGGAAACUGGUAGACUAGAGUGUCGGAGAGGUAAGUGGAAUUCCUAGUGUAGCGGUGAAAUGCGUAGAUAUUAGGAGGAACACCAGUGGCGAAGGCGGCUUACUGGACGAUAACUGACGUUGAGGCUCGAAAGCGUGGGGAGCAAACAGGAUUAGAUACCCUGGUA